rnacentral:rRNA from 1 species
CCUACGGGAGGCAGCAGUGAGGAAUAUUGGUCAAUGGACGAGAGUCUGAACCAGCCAAGUAGCGUGAAGGAUGACUGCCCUAUGGGUUGUAAACUUCUUUUAUAUGGGAAUAAAAUGUUCCACGUGUGGGAUUUUGUAUGUACCAUAUGAAUAAGGAUCGGCUAACUUCGUGCCAGCAGCCGCGGCAAUACGGAGGAUCCGAGCGUUGUCCGGAUUUAUUGGGUUUAAAGGGAGCGUAGGUGGAUUGUUAAGUCAGUUGUGAAAGUUUGCGGCUCAACCGUAAAAUUGCAGUUGAAACUGGCAGUCUUGAGUACAGUAGAGGUGGGCGGAAUUCGUGGUGUAGCGGUGAAAUGCUUAGAUAUCACGAAGAACUCCGAUUGCGAAGGCAGUUCACUGGACUGCAACUGACACUGAGGCUCGAAAGUGUGGGUAUCAAACAGGAUUAGAUACCCCAGUAGUC